rnacentral:rRNA from 1 species
UACGUAGGGUGCGAGCGUUGUCCGGAAUUAUUGGGCGUAAAGGGCUCGUAGGCGGUUUGUCGCGUCGGGAGUGAAAACCAGGUGCUUAACACCUGGCUUGCUUUCGAUACGGGUGGACUAGAGGUAGGCAGGGGAGAAUGGAAUUCCUGGUGUAGCGGUGAAAUGCGCAGAUAUCAGGAGGAACACCGGUGGCGAAGGCGGCGUUCUGGACUGCAACUGACACUGAGAAACGAAAGCCAGGGUAGCAAACGGG